rnacentral:tRNA from 1 species
GGUCAUAUAGCUCAGCGGUAGAGCACUACGUUGACAUCGUAGGGGUCACAGGUUCGAUCCCUGUUAUGACCACCA